rnacentral:misc_RNA from 1 species
GAUGAAGAACGCAGCGAAAUGCGAUAAGUAAUGUGAAUUGCAGAAUCCAGUGAAUCAUCGAAUCUUUGAACGCACAUUGCGCCCGCCAGCAUUCUGGCGGGCAUGCCUGUCCGAGCGUCAUUACAACCCUCAAGCUCAGCUUGGUGUUGGGCCCCGCCGCCCCGGCGGGCCCUAAAGUCAGUGGCGGUGCCGUCCGGCUCCGAGCGUAGUAAUUCUUCUCGCUCUGGAGGUCCGGUCGUGUGCUCGCCAGCAACCCCCAAUUUUUUUCAGGUUGACCUCGGAUCAGGUAGGGAUACCCGCUGAACUUAAGCAUAUCAAUAAGCGGAGGA